AUUAGGUUAUAUAUUAUUUAUAUUACAUUGUAAGUCAAUAGAAGGAGCUUUUAGGGAUAAAAAAGUUAAUAAUCGUGUAAUUUUUGAUUUAUUUCAAGAGCCAGCUGUUAAAAUUUUGCUUCCUUUGAAAUAACACGAAUUUGCGAACAUGCUAUUAUAAGUAUUCACCGACACCGUGGAACAAUAUUUGUACACAUUAAGUUUGUUGGGAUCGACAACGAAAAACCCACCGGUAUUGGCUUGACUCAAAUGUUGAAGGUGGGUGGGUAUACAUACACAUGUGAAAAGUUCCACAUGCGAUGUAUAGUUUGAUGACGUACUGGUGACUACUAUUAAACAUGUAUAAGAUUUGAAGAUUGUAUUGAUCGUGUACGAUGAAUCGCAAACACCAUAAUAUUAGUGCGGUACUAGGCAAUUUGCGAUAAGCAAUUAUCAAGACGAACGAUUGCAAAUAAACCACAAUAUUAAAUCGUACUACUGUGUUUGUAUGUCUCGACUCUAGACCAUUUGUAUGACGGAUACGAGUACAUAAAGAACCUUGAUUUAAUAUGUUCACAUUAUAAAGCUUUUGCUAUUAUCAUUAGACGCUGAACGAAUGACCGCUAAUAAUAUAAAACUUUUUUUUUUAAA